GUUCAGAAAAGUAAGAUCUACAAAUAAGUCAACAUGACCAAAAUGGUCAGUUGACCACUUUAGGAGUUAUUGCCCUUUAUAGCAUAGAUGCCAACCAUUACGAUUUUUGCGUAGUUUUUCCGAUUUUGCGAUAAAAACUACGCUGUUACGGUCAAAGUCGAAUAGUUACGGAUUACCAAUCAUUGCCGUUCAAUUUUGUAAAACGCGGAUUUGUAUCAUUACUUUUCCGUCCUGGUCCGGUAUUUAGAAAACGCCAAUGUAAUGCUUCCGGUUCCUCGGGAGUUAUCAACCUAUUGUUGAGUAACUAACUGACUUCCGAAGAGGCAAACUUGCAUUUUAUGAAGGAGCUUUCCCCCUUUCUCUACUUCUCCUUGACAAAACGAAAAUGUACGAGUCGAGAACAUCUGAACAAUUAAUGAAUGGAAUACAUACUACAGACAACAUGUUAAACGACAAAUUUUAGGGCACAUCACUUUGCAACCACUCGUCAGUAAUUUUUAUUGGUAAAUGCACGUUUAUAAAUGAUUACUGAAAACUUUUCAAAAAUACGGAAAAUUUGAUAGUUUGUUACUGAUUGUGUCAAAAGGGGGUUGGCAUCUAUGUUAUAGUAAAUUUUUAACCAUUUUUCGUAAAUCUUAGUAAUCUUUUAGAAAAAUCUUCUCCUCUAAAACUACUGGGCCAAAUUUAACCAAACUUGGCCAUAAUCAUCAUUGGGGUAUCUAGUUUAAAAAAUGUGUCCGUGACCCGCCCAACCAACCAAGAUGGCCGCCAUGGCUAAAAAUAGAACAUAGGGGUAAAAUGCAGUUUUUGGCCUAUAACUCAAAAACCAAAGC
rnacentral:lncRNA from 1 species